UGUGUGUUUUAAAUGUUAAUAGUUUAUUGCUGAUUCCUGGUAUCCUGUAUCCCUCCUGAGCCAGUGGGAUUAAGAGAAACCUUACAGUUGAUCCUUCUCUGUCAAGCCUCACAGCGCUUUUGGAAAAGUCUGUAAUGCUGGACACAGUGUCUGAGUUCCGCUCUAUAUUUAGUGUAUUCUUGUAGCUCUGUUCACGUUUGGAGUCUGUUUCAAUGCCAAAUUAUGUUUCUGGACCUUACUUUACUUUUGGAUUUUACAAGAAUUACUAAAAACUGUCAUUAUUAUUAUUAUUAUUAUUAUUAUUAUUAUUAUUAUUAUUAAAUAUGAAUCCUACCACUAUGCCCCUUGAAACACUUGAAAACACUGCAAAAAAAACCCCCCAAAACUCCACAGAGGUAGAAAUCAAUAUUGUGCCACUUAUUCAUGUCUGUUUAGAACACAUUAGCUUUUCAAUAAUAAUGUAUUCAGUUACAGCUCUAAGAGGGAUAAAGAGGAAUGAAUCUUACAUGAAUUUGUGGUUUAACCCCUGCUAUUAGUACCUUUGUGUGGCGAAAAAAAAGAAGAAAAUUCUGCUGUGGAAUAAAAAGCCCAAAAGAAGCGUUUUCAUGUUAAGCCAGACUUCAACAGCAUCGAAUUGUACAUUUCAUUGCUCUCUCUCUCUCUCUCUCUCUCUCUCUCUCUCUCUCUCUCUGUAAAAGCCAAUAGAAACUAGUUUAAAUUUCAGCGACAUUAAACAACAAUGGCAGCAAUUUUACAUGCUGUUUUUUGUAAAAAAAAAAAAAAAAAGGAUCAGAUUAAGAACCUGAAUCCUUCUCUGAAGCUGUUAAGUCUGUCUGUCUUCUUUUUCUUCAAUUUUUUUUUUUUUAAAGUGAUUUCCCUGGUAAAACUGAUGCAUCGUUUGGCCUGCUGCGUGUUGUAUGGUACUGUGUUCUUUGCCACUCUCCUUAUUCCCUCUCGGAGCAGCACAACUUUCUUAGUGGCCCCUUAAGUCCCAAUUUUGCCUGGAAAACUCUGUGUGCGCCUGGCGCCUUCCUCUGUGGCCCAGCUCCUGCUUGGCUGUCCCCAGAAGAGUGGAACAAAGAGGCUGGAAUUACAGAAUGCUGCCGGAGCCUAAUCUCCCAGGACACCUCUAUGCAUGGAAACUACUGUAAACUGCUGCAAGAAAAACAGCACCUUACACUGGAAAGCACGAUGAACUCUAAUACUCCAGAGUCCACGGUUUGAUCCUGAGCUCGGGUUACUGUCUGUGUGGAAUUUCAACAAGGCCUCCUAUUCUAUACAUAUCAGUCUAACACAAUUCUGCAGGGUCGCGGGGAGCCUGUCCCAGGCACGAGUCGGGGGACACACUUGAUGGGGUGCCAACCCAUCGCAGGGCACAAUUACAAACUACAGACAAUUUAGAGAUGCCAAUCAGCCUACGACUCAUGUAUUUGGACCGGGGGAGGAAACUGGAAUACCCGGAGGAAACCCCCAAAGCACGGGGAGAACAUGCAAGCUCCAUGCAUGCUGGGCAGAGGCAGGAAUUGAGCCCCCAAACCCUGGAGGCAAACGUGCUAACCACUAAGCCGUUGUGCCCCCCACAAUUAGUAACCUUAUUCUUAUAAUGUAAUAUAAGCAUAAUACAGUAUGUCUUGAAAUGUAAGGCUUUGGCAGUCAGGAAUCAGUCAACUGCUGAAAGAUUUCCAGGAGAUUAAAAAAAAAUCAACAUCAUGUUGCUAUGCAGCACAACAUCACCAGUGCCAUUGUCUGAUUUGCACCGAUAGCCAUCUCAGAGUGACGUCGACAGCAAACGGCGAUGUUAUUUGUGUAGAGUACAGCUGGGGGCAUGCAGACAGUGGUAAGGGUGUGGUCAUCAGAGUGUGUGUGCCAGAUGGUAUUAAGCUGUUGUUUUGUGUGUGUGUGUGAGAGAGAGAGAGAGACAAUCUUUUCACCGUAUCUGGUGCUUGUCUGAUGAGUUCUAGAUGUUGCAUAUAAGAAAAGAGGGGAUUCCCUGAGGGCCAGACAGGCUGUAUUGGAUAAUACCAUAAUGACAGAGUAAACUCUCCAUGAAGCCAAGAGAACACCACAAAUGCCAAGCCCAGACCAGCCGCUAUCUGCACGUAUGUGUUUGUGUGUGUUGUGGCUGAUGUUUCACAGCUCUGAACAUUUCGGCGUGUUUUUCACUGGUGUAUGUUUCCACAGUAAGGCAGCGUGCCCCCUCACUGACGCACACACUCCUUCCUCCUGGCUCGAGUGCUCCGACUACUCCUUACUGCAGUGCUGGAGGAGGACUCUACUGUAAAUGUCAACCCUGCUGAAAUACUGGAGUCGGUGAUUCACACACCCAAUUUUAACCAGUGACUCCAAAAACUGACUGCAGAUAAGUUUAAAUUUAGUCCUGCGCCGUGCUUUAAUCUGCGUCUUUGAUUUGUGCUUCUUGUGCAAACUCCUCGCUGGGUUGUUUCUCAGUGCUUAAGGCAGAAUGUUAGACAUUAAGGUGUCUCAUGUCCAGAUGAAUGCAAAUUAGAGAGAAGGAACAGGAUGUGCAGAGCCAGGAAGUCUCCUGGGUCCCUUUAAUGGAGUAACAGAGAGGUAUCACAUGGCAGCGAUUUUUUAUGUUAGACAUAUGAAGUUGCUCUUAAGCAUGCCCCUCACCCAAAAUGUAGUCAUGCAUACCAUAACUUUCUAGAUUAGUUGGCUCAUGAAUUUACAUGAAGACUAGAUCCUGUGCAUACCUCCAAAAUACAAUCCAAGAAAUAGGUUUAAUAAUCUUAUGUGUGGUUUAUUGUAAUCUUAAAGUAGGAAAUACUAGAUAAAUUUGACUAAAUUCAAGAUAUUUUCACUUGCUAAGAUUUUUUGGGCAUAUAUUAGGUGGACAUAUUAGGCGGAUGUUUAUAGAUUACGAUUCCCUCACCUGUCUCACAAAUCACUCCUUCUUUAAUGCAUUUGGUCUCUCUCUCUCUCUUAGCAUUCUUUCUGUCGUCCAAACCAACAUGUCUGACAAUAGCUAUAGUCAGAGUAGUCUCUAUCACAUCUGGGCUGCAGAAGGUGCCUGGCCAUCCAGAAUAGAGCUAGAAUCACCAGCAUGACUCCAGAUCACUGUCUUCCCCAAUCCUUAUGUACUCAUAACUCAGAAAAACCUAAGUCCUGACAUGGAAAAGUGCAGGGGAACGGCUAUUCAGCUUGAAUUCUGAGGCAACAUUCACCUUGCCUGAGUUCUCUGAUAUAAACACAUCUGAUGUCACGACAAUAUGGCGGUGCACAUCCAACCACUUUCCAUACCGCUUAUCCUACACAGGGUCAUAGUGGGCCUGGAGCCUAUCCCACAGAACUCUGGACAGGGUGCCAACCCGUCGCAGGGCACAAUCACACACUACUGACAAUUUGGAAAUGCCAAUCAGCCUACAGUGCAUGUCUUUGGACUAGGGUAGGAAACUAGAGUACCCGGAGAAAACCCCCAAAGCACGGGGAGAACAUGCAAACUCCAUGCGCACACAGGGCAGAGGCAGGAUUUGAACCCCCAACUCUGGAGGUGUGAGGUAAAUGUGCUAACCACAUUAAAUGUCAUCAACCUACAUUAAAUGUCAUUUCUUCAUUAAUUGAGAGCUUCUUACGAAGAUAGAAUUCAGACACCAGCCAUACAGAUGUCAUCUUGAUCUAGGCAUCCAUGCUUU